CUCGAUACAGAUAUGUGAAGAAUGAAGGGACCCUACAGUGAAAAGGCGAAUUGAACCACACCAACUUGGUAGAACUACAGAUCAUCUGUGACCAGCUGCAUCAGGAAGAGCAUCGAUGAUUCUUUCAAAUUGCUAGUGGGCCUGACAUGGAGGAGACUGAGGUGCCUUGGUGGUGGGAUCCUUUGAGUAUUACCAUUGGGUUGUCAUUGUUUUUUUCAUUGUUUCUGUGUGUGGCAUCCCUGUCCCCGUCACACUGGAUAAAGGCAAAGCAGCAGCUAAUUUGGUGUGGGAUUCCACAGCUGUCUUACAGAGAUGGAGGAAGAGUUGCAGGAACUCAGGGAUUUGAUUGCACAGCUUAAAGCAGACAAUGAGAGGCUGCGUCAGGAGAGGGCUGUUGGGUCAGCAAGCUUUGCAAAUGUGAUACAGUCCCACUGCCACCAACAGAGCACUGACUAAAAUUGUGGAAAUGAUCCGAGUGGCAGCAGAAGAAAAAUGGCACGCCUCUUCGUCUGGAUUAGAUUUGUAAUUUUUAUUUUGAG